CUGAACUUAAGCAUAUCAAUAAGCGGAGGAAAAGAAACCAACAGGAUUGCCCCAGUAACGGCGAGUGAAGCGGCAACAGCUCAAAUUUGAAAUCUGUCCCCAGGGCCCGAGUUGUAAUUUGUAGAGGAUGCAAAAGCGCGGCGCCUUCCGAGUUCCCUGGAACGGGACGCCAUAGAGGGUGAGAGCCCCGUCUGGUCGGAUGCCUAGCCUCUGUAAAGCUCCUUCGACGAGUCGGUAGUUUGGGAAUGCUGCUCAAAAUGGGAGGUAUAUGUCUUCUAAAGCUAAAUAUUGGCCAGAGACCGAUAGCGCACAGUAGAGUGAUCGAAAGAUGAAAAGCACUUUGAAAAGAGGGUUAAAAAGUACGUGAAAUUGUUGAAAGGGAAGCGCCCAUGACCAGACUUGGGCCCGGUGAAUCAUCCAGCGUUCUCGCUGGUGCACUUUGCCGGGCACAGGCCAGCAUCAGUUUGGCGCGGGGGAUAAAGGCUCUGGGAAUGUGGCUCCCUCGGGAGUGUUAUAGCCCACUGCGCAAUACCCUGCGCCGGACUGAGGUACGACGCAUCCGAAGGAUGCUGGCGUAAUGGUCAUCAGCGACCCGUCUUGAAACACGGACCAAGGAGUCGUCUUCGUAUGCGAGUGUUCGGGUGUCAAACCCUACGCGUAAUGAAAGUGAACGCAGGUGAGAGCUUCGGCGCAUCAUCGACCGAUCCUGAUGUUCUCGGAUGGAUUUGAGUAAGAGCAUACGGGGCCGGACCCGAAAGAAGGUGAACUAUGCCUGUAUAGGGUGAAGCCAGAGGAAACUCUGGUGGAGGCUCGCAGCGGUUCUGACGUGCGAAUCGAUCGUCAAAUAUGGGCAUGGGGGCGAAAGACUAAUCGAACCUUCUAGUAGCUGGUUUCCGCCGAAGUUUCCUCAGGAUAGCAGUGUUGAACUCAGUUUUAUGAGGUAAAGCGAAUGAUUAGGGACUCGGGGGCGCUAUAUUGCCUUCAUCCAUUCUCAAACUUUAAAUAUGUAAGAAGCCCUUGUUACUUAAUUGAACGUGGGCAUUCGAAUGUAUCAACACUAGUGGGCCAUUUUUGGUAAGCAGAACUGGCGAUGCGGGAUGAACCGAACGCGAGGUUAAGGUGCCGGAGUGGACGCUCAUCAGACACCACAAAAGGUGUUAGUACAUCUUGACAGCAGGACGGUGGCCAUGGAAGUCGGAAUCCGCUAAGGUCUGUGUAACAACUCACCUGCCGAAUGUACUAGCCCUGAAAAUGGAUGGCGCUCAAGCGUCCCACCCAUACCUCGCCCUCGGGGUAGAAACGAAGCCCCGAGGNGUAGGCGGACGUG
rnacentral:rRNA from 1 species